CGGUACGGGUGAGUAACACGUGGAUAACCUACCUAUAAGACUGGGAUAACUUCGGGAAACCGGAGCUAAUACCGGAUAAUAUUUUGAACCGCAUGGUUCAAAAGUGAAAGACGGUCUUGCUGUCACUUAUAGAUGGAUCCGCGCUGCAUUAGCUAGUUGGUAAGGUAACGGCUUACCAAGGCAACGAUGCAUAGCCGACCUGAGAGGGUGAUCGGCCACACUGGAACUGAGACACGGUCCAG
rnacentral:rRNA from 1 species